UACGAAGGGGGCUAGCGUUGCUCGGAAUUACUGGGCGUAAAGGGCGCGUAGGCGGCGGUGUUCGUCAGGCGUGAAAGCCCUGGGCUCAACCUGGGGACUGCGCUUGAUACGGCAUUGCUAGAGGAUGGAAGAGGGUCGCGGAAUUCCCAGUGUAGAGGUGAAAUUCGUAGAUAUUGGGAAGAACACCGGUGGCGAAGGCGGCGACCUGGUCCAUUACUGACGCUGAGGCGCGACAGCGUGGGGAGCAAACAGG
rnacentral:rRNA from 1 species